UGUCCUGAUUCAUGGAGGAAGUUUGGUGGUCAUUGUUAUUUUAUUUCCAACUCAAAAAAACCCUGGCAUGUCAGCAAACAGGACUGUGAAAACCGUGGUGCAACACUUGCAGUUGUAUCUAAUGAAGAGGAACAGAGAUUCAUCAGCUCAUUGGGGCAGCGUUUGUGGAUUGGUCUGAAUGAUCUUGAGAACGAAGGUGUCUGGAAAUGGGUACUGGAAACAGGGACAGCCAGAUGAUUGUAAACCUUGUGGUGGAGAAGACUGUGGUGAGCUUUUGGGUCAAGAGAGGGACCCUCUUAAAACCUGGAAUGAUCGAUCUUGCAAUGAGAAAGAACUCUUCAUCUGUGAGAAGGCACUUGAGCAUCAAUGUGUUUAACUCUUGUGACUGAUUUCACAUUUGUCUUCUUCUAACGCAUGUAAAAUCAGAGUCAAACCCCCCCCCAAAAAACAAACAAACAAACAAACAAAUAAACCGAAAUGUUACCUCUCCUAAAAACAAAAGAAAAAAUGUUAACAUUCAAUGACAUUUCUAUUUUGCUUUACUUUAUACAUGUUUAGCAUAAGGUGCUGAUCAAUAUACCCCAAAAUUUAUAUGAAUUAGUGAAAUUCUAUUGUUUGUGUUACAACCUCUUGCAGUGAACUACAUAAGUAGUGGCUCAAUAAUAUGCACAACAGCGGGUUUAUGCUUCAUUAGUUUAUGGAUGAAAAGAUAAACCCUAAUACUUUGAUAUCAACGUGCAUCUGUUUGACUUGCUAUUGUUUUCAAAGUUUUACACUGUUGUCAAGGGGAAUUGCUAUUGCAACAUGAGAACAGCUCAAAGUUUGUUUGUUUGUUUUUAUACUUAAUUCACUAGAUACACAGGACAUACAGACAACUGAGAUACUGUUUCUCUCUCUCCUUGCUACUUAAAUACUGUGCAUGUAAAAAAUGUAAAAAAAAAAAAAAAAAAAAAGUAGAUAAAAAUAUAAAGAUAAGAAAAAAAAAGUAAGAAUAAAUAAGUGGUAUAAAAGAUAUUCUAUAGUAGAACAUAAAAGAUAUAAAUCCAAUCCAUUUAGAAUAACAGCAGUAGUGCAAUACACCAUGCAAAUGUCAUUUUAUUCCUCACAAAAUCCAAAAAUCCUACUGCUGUAACUGUCAUGAAUUGGUGGUUAUAUUUGUUAUCGUUUAUCUUUGAUGCUAAUUUCCAGUACAUGAUGAAGCGAAAUAUAUGAUUCAAAGGACAGACUCCUGCUCACUGGCUUCUACAAAGCUUCUUCCUACAGAAAUAAUUCAAUAGUCAUAUCAAAAAAUUCACUGAUGUAUGAAAAAUACAAAAUACUGGAGCUUAAAACACAAAUAUGUAGUUUUUAAUCAGCAUAGAGUAGUGAUUGUAUUUAGUAUUUCCCCGUCCUGAACAGUCCUGCUCCGCUCACAAAAACAGUUGGCAGUCGACAUAUGACUGUAAAUGUACAAACAAAAACAAAACAAUAAACACAUUAAAAGAUUUCAGUGGUGUGUAAAAAAGUGACACAAAAUGUGGACACAAAACUUAACAUAUGAAACCAAUUAAAAAUGGAUUGUUUUUACUGUAAAUUCAAAUACUUCACAGUACUCAACAAUCCUGUUUUGGUGACAGUAUGAUAAUAAUCAUUGUUAAUCAGUUUUAAUUUAACUGAAAUAUGAUCAUGAACCUCAUUAAUUGGAUAUAUGUGAAAGUAAACAUGGAAAUCCUUAGAUCUCCAUAUGUCAUGCACAGAGUAUAUAAAGGAAGUGAUUGAAUCUCUUCAUACACUUUCACACACAGUUCAUUUACAUAGAAUGGGAUAAAAUCUAAAUCGAGGCUUUUAGGGAGAAUGUUAAAUGAAGAAGUAAAUAAAUGUCUGAUUACAAUUGGACUUUCCGCAUUGAUAAGUUUUAAAAUAAUUGAACAAUCUAAAUGCUAUUCCAGGGUAUGAAAUUAUAACUUGUUACCUACAUCUUGCAGAAAACCCCAUUUAAUUUAGUUCAGUGGUCACCGAGAAAUGUGGAUCUUUGUAAAGCAUGUCACAGGUUCCUUUCUUCCAAGUUUGGCACGUGGAUGCUCUUGGCAUCCAUAUGAAUGAAAAUAUUUUACUCACAACUGACGGGGCAACGAACAAAUGAAUUCAAAUUCUGUGCAGGGAGGAGGAAGAAGAAGGAGCUCAAUCCAGUCUUCCAUGAGUUAAUAAUGUAAUAUCUUUCUUUAAUCAUUCAUUUUUGCACCUUACCAACGUUUGCAAAACUCAGAAAUCUGCUUCCUUUUGGAUGUAAGUCAUUAUUCAUUUCGUUAGUUGAAAAUGAAAAGAAACAAGCAGUCACUUUUUCAAAAGAGAUAUUUUUGUGUGAGAACACAAUGAACAACUUCAUAUUUGUAAGGCAUGAACACAAUGGAC